AACGAACGCUGGCGGCAGGCCUAACACAUGCAAGUCGAACGAAGUCUUCGGACUUAGUGGCGCACGGGUGAGUAACACGUGGGAAUAUACCUUACGCUGGGGGAUAACAUCGGGAAACUGAUGCUAAUACCGCAUACGCCCUUCGGGGGAAAGAUUUAUCGACGAAGGAUGAGCCCGCGUCCGAUUAGCUAGUUGGUGAGGUAAUGGCUCACCAAGGCUCCGAUCGGUAGCUGGUCUGAGAGGCUGACCAGCCACACUGGGACUGAGACACGGCCCAGACUCCUACGGGAGGCAGCAGUGGGGAAUAUUGGACAAUGGGCGCAAGCCUGAUCCAGCCCUGCCGCGUGAGUGAUGAAGGCCUUAGGGUUGUAAAGCUCUUUCACCCACGACGAUGAUGACGGUAGUGGGAGAAGAAGCCCCGGCUAACUUCGUG
rnacentral:rRNA from 1 species